CUUGGUGACUUAUGCUAUCACCCAAAGUUGGAGGUCCUAUCCUUGCUAGUUGUUUGGGAACAUAGAGACGUGGAGAUGAAUCUGCACUUUGUGUUUCCCUUGUCCAAUGGUUCCCGCGAGCCCUUUUUCAUCAUGAGUGUUUUGAUUUGCUUUCUGGUUCGUUCAAUGUAUAGUAAAAUAUCGCUAUAUAAUUUAUUUCCUCUUAUUUUGUAGCAGGAGUAGCUAUCUUCAUUUUACUAAUCUCAUUUUAUUCAACUCGUGAAGUACAAGGAGUCACAGAGGCAGAAUAAUUCGACGAUUCAUAUAUUUUGUGGCUUAUGAGUUGGCGGUGUGUGUUUUAUUUGGUUAUGAAUUGGGUGAAUAGUAGUUUGAGUGAGUGUCA